CGCAUCUGGAUUCCCACCAUGGCCUGGGCCCCUCUGCUCCUCACACUGAUCACUUACUGCGUUGGUUUAAGUUUCCAACAGCUCCAGCCGCUGAAGACAUCUGAGUUUGUGUCUCCUGGCGGGACCAUGACCCUCUCCUGUAGCCUGAGCAGUGGGGCCAUCACUGAUAACAACUACCCGAGCUGGGUUCAACAGAGACAGGGGAAUGUUCCUCGGCUGAUCAUGUACAGCACGAGUACCAGGCCCUCCGGGAUCCCAGCGCGUUUCACUGGCUCCAGAUCGGGUAACACCAUGUCCUUGACCAUCGCUGGGGCCCUAGCAGAGGAUGAUGCUGAUUAUUACUGUUCUGUGUGGACAGGGAGUGCUCAUCACAGCGAUACAAUCAGAUGGGGAAGUGAUACAAAAACCUCCCUCCCCAGCCUGUGCCCUCCUGGGAGAACUUAA